ensembl:snoRNA
UGGAUCAAUGAUGAUUGCUGGUGGCGUAUGAGUCAUGGAUGAUGAAUACGUGUCUGGAACUCUGAGGUCCAA